GACGAACCGUGCGAACGUUGUUCGGAUUCACUGGGCUUAAAGGGCGCGUAGGCGGCGGCUCAAGUCGGGGGUGAAAUCCUCUCGCUUAACGAGAGAAUUGCUUUCGAUACUGGGUCGCUGGAGGGAGAUAGGGGUGCGCGGAACUUCCGGUGGAGCGGUGAAAUGCGUAGAUAUCGGAAGGAACGCCGGUGGCGAAGGCGGCAUCCUGGACCGACACUGACGCUGAGGAGCGAAAGCCAGGGGAGCAAACGGG
rnacentral:rRNA from 1 species